GGGCGAUGAGGCCAGCCUGGGAGUGGUGGUGGAGAGCCCCCCUGAGCAGGACAGCAGCACAGAGGGCAGGAAGCCAAGCCAAGAGGCUGGGAGGGAUGAUCCCUGCUGAUGGCGUCGAGCACCCAGGCUGACAGCUGGAUGAGAAUGGAGACCCCUGCCUGCUUCUCCUGCUGCACUGUGCCCGGUGUCCAGAGCCGGCCCACCAGCCACAGGGCCUCAGUGAUGUGCACUGGGCCAGUGAACACUGCAGACCACACAGGAGCAUACUUCCAGGAGUGCUAAGCGCCGUCAGUUCCUUCACUGUCCAUGGAGCCCAGCUCUGUGCCCGGCCCUGACUUACACUGUAGGCAUGACAGCCGUGAAGGAGACAAACUCUGCCGCCCCCUGGAGCCGACGUCACAGAGGGGCAAACAGUGAGCAGAGCACAGCAGCCCACUGUGCACGUGCAGCCAGAGGCGUCUUCUCCAAUGGAGGCCGAGCACGUCUCCUCCUGCUCAUGAUCCCCUGCUCCUUAGAACCUGACCCAGGGCCCUUGUUGUGGAACUGAGCUUGGACUAACGAGGGAGCUGAGAGGCAGCUGCUGGCCAGCCAGCCAGGGCCCAAGCUGUCAGAAGAGAAGGAGAAAGCCUCAUUAGCAGAACAUGUCACUAUCGGAGCUGACUGCUUUCCAGGCCUGAGCUGGGGGAUGUCUAAGUUUGGAGAUGCAGAGCACAGUGCACCAUGGGAGCGGUCCCAGAAACAAGGGGUGCUGGUCCACCCCACUCCCCAGUCUCGCACCUGCCUCUGUCUUGUAUGUGCCUGCCACUGCAGCCUCCUGUCUGGAAUGCCUCCUCUGAUUCCUGUGGGCAGAGCCACGCAUCAGGCCCCGCUAGAUGGCCACCUCGGUUUAGAUGCUGUUCCGAUGCUGCCAGCAGGGGGUGAGCGUGUGCUGUGCUGGGCACGUCCUGCCUCUGCCCCUGGAACAGGGGACUGUCCUCUAGUUGGGUCCCCGUCUUCUCUUCCCAGCUGGGCCGUGCUCUUCCAGUGGGAUCUAUGCCUGAUUCACCUCGGGUAGCGCGAUGGAGUCUGGCCAGGUGCCCGGCAUGUGGGCUUCACAGAGGGCCCUGCUCUCCGUGGGUGAAGGAAAAUCUUCUCUGCCCGCUCAGAUGCUGGGACCGUCCCAGGGCCGUCUCGUGAGCAGGUGGAAAGACUCUGCAUGCAGUGUCACCGGCCUUGCAAGCAGCAGCCAGCGGCCUCCUGGACAUCCUCAGGCUUCUGAGGAGCCCCUGCGGAAGCUCCCUGACACACGACCCUCCCUCUGGACCCCAAGAUGUCUGGCUUCCUGUGGAGCUCCCUUAGACAUGGAGCUGGGUGAGCAGCCCAGACCUCGGUCAGCACUCCCAGGGGGAUCGCUCUGCGCCACUGUCAUAAAAGGGAGAUGUCGUCCCAGUGGACAGGCCCAACUCCUGCAUUACAGUCAGAAAACUCAGCAUCACGUGGAAAUGACCCGAGGCUGCUUUGAGGGCCCAAACCCGUGCCGCAGUCCAGGCUCUGAGGUUUCACCUCAGUGGGGCUGAAAUGCAGACCUGCAGUGAGGGUGGCCUCUCCUUGUGAGCCCUGGCGCCUCCAGGUCAUCCUCUAGGUUCACUGAGCAUUUGGACACGAUGCUUCUUAGGCCACGGAGGUGCCAGCUCCCUUCUGAAUUGAAUCCAUGCAGAGUGCCACUCUGGUUGGCACAGCUCUGUGGGGCACUGGACUGAGGCCUCUCGCCCACACGUCACCGCCCAUCCAUGUGUCCUCCUUGCACGGCCCCCACUCACAGCGGUAGGCACCACCCUGGGCCAAACCCCCACACUGCUGGCUGGCUCCGGAUUCCGCGUCUCACCUCCACGUAAAAUGCAGGGGGGCAGCUCCACCUCUCGCUCUGGGAUGGGACCUGCCGGGACCUUACACGGGCUGUACCCUGUUCCGCUUGCCAGGCCGGGUCCUGCUGGGCAGGCAGCAGCACAGGCCUCGGAG
rnacentral:lncRNA from 1 species